GCCAGGCUGCUCUCAAACUCCUGCUGAUCUACCUGCCUCAACCUCCCAAGUGCUGGGAUUAUAGGAUGUGUCACCAGGCCCGGCUGCUAUGCAUCUUUAGCGGUUCUGUCAUCCUGAAUUGAUUCAGAAUGUUGACCUUUCGUGGAAUUUCGACUUUAGGAUACAGUCAGAAGUCACAUCACAACAGAUGGCUGAGGACACAGGGUAAUGUUUCCACCAGCCCACCUUUCCUUUGGAUGGCACUAGGCAGCAGAACUCACUUCAUGUUUUGGUAAUACCUUCUAAGGACAUUAAAGAGGCUUCCAGAAUUGCUUCAGAAAGUGUCAAGAACAAUGGGACAAGUGUGUUAAAGCAAAGUGGAGUUUUUGAGAGUGACUAAUGACGUGGUCUUUUACUAUAAAUUUAAAGAAUUUAAUUAUUUACUGUACUAUACUAUACUAUAUACUAUACUAAUUUUGCCCAGAAAUCAGUCGUAGCCAUUCUCACAGACACUUUCCUUCGCAUCCUCUUGGCUUAGUCAGAGAUCCUCAAGAGAGACACUUUUCUAAGUGUCAGGUGCUGUCUGCAUCUCUCCAGGCCUGAAUAGGUGAUUGCCUGCCUGUUGGUGUUCUCUACUGUCCAUAGGUGGCUAUGUGGGCAUGAGUUGGGGGAUAAACACACCAUCUUCAUCUUUUGCUUUCAAUGGGACAAUUCUGAGGUGUGUUCGUAGUUGCUAGUGUGUUCAUAAUUUCUCAGGAAUACCCAGUGGCAUUGUAGUGGUGUUGCUCUCAGCAGUAACCUUCUUUUGAAAUAAUCUGUCAUUAAUUUUCCUCAUUGCCCCAUUUUAUUUACCCAUUCUUCCUGAAAACAAUCCCCAAAUAAACUUGCACCCAAAUUCUUGUUUUAAUCUAUUUGCAAAAACCUAAAUAAGGAAAACAAAUCCCAGCUGGUGCAUCAGAUUUGUUGAUGAGAGAUCCAGUUGGAUCUUUUGGAUGAUCAAUAUUAGUUUGGUGUGAAGAUUGAGACAGGUAUCAAGUAGGAGAAUGCACUAUAUUCAUUGAGUAAAACCUUGAUAAAUUUGGGAGACACAAAAUCUGUACUCCUAUGUCUCUACAGGAAAGGUUUGUGGAAAUAUAUGUGAGUCUAUAGACAAGCUUAGUUGGGGAAGUAAAAUCACUAGCUUUGAAUUAUAGUACAAAAGUGUUAACAUUUGAAUGAGGGACAAGAUGUGACAAAUCUUAUAGCAAGCUUUUUUGAAGAAGAGAAAUAAAACUAAUUCAUUUUCUUUAUCUUAAUGCUUUUAAGAAUAAAUUCUUUUAUAUUUAUAUCUAGCAGGUUAAAUGAACUUGAAAUGCCAGCACUUUUGUUAGUUUUCUAUUGCUUCUGUAAGGUGUAAACACAUAUAUAGUAGCUGAAACAGCACACAUUUCUCAUCUUAGAGUUGUGUGGGUCAAUACUUUGACAUGAAUUCGACUGGACUAAAAUCAGUGUCAGUAGGGCUGCAUUUCUUUGCAGAAUCUCCAGGGAUGAAUUUAUUUCUUUGACUUUUUCAGCAUUUUGGAGCCACUCAAAUUUCUUACUAACAUCAAAUGAUUAAAUGAAUUAUUCUUCUCCUUGGUGGGAAGAGAAAAGCAUAGAAAGCAAUGUUUUAUGUCAGCUUGGUAAUAUCUUAUUCAGGCUCAAAUUUGGUCAAUUUAUCUUGGUUUCUUUUCUUUCACCUUCCCCUAACAACAGGGAAACUGUGAGUCAAAUCUUGAUGGCACCCAGUUAAGUACUUCUUAUCAUGUCUAUAAGAAUUUUUGCAUUCUUCUGGAUGGUUUGACUUCAUUGAUGUUUCUUUAAUCUAUUAGUACUGAAGGAUGCCUGUUUUUAUCCAAUCACAUUGCUACUUAUUUGCCUGUACUUGAAUCAUGCUUGUCUAAUGAAUUCUCUACAAAAACUCAAAGACGGGUUCAGAGGGCUUCUGGAUAGUCAAACGUGGAGGCUCCUGAAAGGUGGUGGCCUGGCAAGGGCAUGCAAGCUCUGCAACCUGCCCCACAUAUCUUUCCCUGUUCACUUCCUCGUCUAUAUCCUUGUUACAAACUGGUAAACAUAAGUAGGUAUUUCCAUGAGUUCUGUGAACAAGUAAAUAAAUUAAACACAGUGGGGAAUUGUAGGAACUUGUAUUUAUAAUCAGUAGAUCAGAAGUACAUAUCACAGACUGAGGCUUACUUUUAGCAUCUAAACUGGGGAGGUGGUAACUUGGAGACCAGACCUUCAACAUGGGAUCUUAUGCUACCUGAACAAACUGAAUGGACUUAGAAGGCAGGCAGCUGGUGUUCACUGAAGAAUGAAUUGUUUGUUUCUAUGUGAUGUGAAGGUCUCAUACCGUUUUUGGGUCACAGAAGUGAUUUGUGUUGUGAGACUAUAGGAGGAGAGACAGUUUGAGUUGUUUUUCUCUUUCUGAUAUUGUCAGAGAUGUAUAGCUAAGGAUGGAAUUGUAGAGAUAACUCUGUUUAACAUUUUUAGGAACUAUCGAACUGUUUUCCAAAGUGGCUGCAUUGUUUUCUGUUCUAGCGGUAGUGUAUGAGGGUUCUAAUUUGUUCAUGUCUUCACCAAUGCUUAUUAUUAUUUUAGGGAAGCAUUUCUGAUGGCAAACCAGAUAAUAAUUUUCUAUAAACUUUUGGAGGCUGAAAUUUAUGCUUGUUGCCUGAAACAGUUUUGGAUAAAAGUUUUUGAAAAGUAAAUAUGUUAUUUUCUAAAAAGGAAAAUAAAAGUAUCCAGAAGAUGAAUGGCCUUGAAAUCAGCCAGAGAAUGAAAGUGAUUGGUGGCUGAUUGGUAUUUGAUUUUAUUAGCAGCCCAAACAAGACGAUUCUGAGAUAAUCAGCUUCCUAAUGUGUACUUAUUGAUUCGGGGCCCCGGAUUGAAACAAUUACUGGGGGAGGCUAAUGGCAGUGGAAGACACACUGUUUUCUGUUUAUGAUUAGAAGACAGAUUGGAAGAGAUUCAAUAACUGUUAAAAGAAAAAAUUGUGACCCAGAAAUCUUGAGAGACUAUUCUAUAUCAUUAAUAGCACCAAGAUUCAAAUACAUGGGUAUACAACAUAUAAAGCUGUCACAGAAUUAUUUGUGGUAGAAAAAUAAACAACCACAAACAAAGGCCUAAAAGGGAACGACUGGACCCAGCCUGAGUGUCGAUCGUGCAUGGAUUGAGGAAUUGUGAGACAUCUGUAGAAUGAAACAUUUCACAAGAAUUACCAGUCGUUCUGCUCUGAGUAACUUCUGAGCUCAAGAUGGACUUGGAGGAGUGCUUGAGAAUGGUAAGACUCAGAUCCUCCCUAAUUUGAUAUCUCCACAGUGACCUGAAUCGGAAGGAGAAGGUGAGCUUUCACAAGAAUUUGACCGUGACUUCUCAACCACAAAAUAUCCCUGAACUAGGAAGAAAUGGACCCAGAACUCAUCUGUGAUUAAGCCACGUGAAUAAAUUCUGUGUUAGAAGAGGAUUAACAGUGUGAGAUCACAAAUGACAGUGACAUUAAAGGUAUGUUUGUCACAACUUCAAAUCUCCAUAUGUUUGGUCAAGGCAGAAUAUCCUGAGAUUGAAAAAAAAAAAAAGCCAGUCUUCAUUUCCAACAUUUCAUCUUUGUGAAGCUGGGUGUUUUGCAGUGACAGCCAUCGAAAUGAUAUUAUAAAUAAGUACACUGGACACAAGCUACGCAUUUCCGAGUGUCACUGUCUUCCAUCACCCCAGAUAUGACUGUCUAGUUGCAGGAAAACAAGCUCAGGGAUAUCCCAUUGAUCCUGUA